AGGCCCCGAGGCGGAUCGGGUAUUGAGUCCAUGGAGCGAGCUGAGAGCUAGAGUACAGAACCUGCUAAGGCCAUCAAACCUAUCGAUCGGAAGUCAGUCCAUCAGAUUUGCUCUGGGCCGGUGGUACUGAGUCUAAGCACUGCGGUGAAGGAGUUAGUAGAAAACAGUCUGGAUGCUGGUGCCACCAAUAUUGAUCUAAAGCUUAAGGACUAUGGAGUGGAUCUCAUUGAAGUUUCAGACAAUGGAUGUGGGGUAGAAGAAGAAAACUUUGAAGGCUUAAUCUCUUUCAGCUCUGAAACAUCACACAUGUAAGAUUCAAGAGUUUGCCAACCUAACUGAGGUUGAAACUUUCGGCUUUCAGGGGGAAGCUCUGAGCUCACUGUGUGCACUGAGCGAUGUCACCAUUUCUACCUGCCACGCAUCGGCGAAGGUUGGGACUCGACUGGUGUUUGAUCACGAUGGGAAAAUCAUCCAGAAAACCCCCUACCCCCACCCCAGAGGGACCACAGUCAGCGUGAAGCAGUUAUUUUCUACACUACCUGUGCACCAUAAGGAAUUUCAAAGGAAUAUUAAGAAGGUACAGUAAAUUAAUCCUGGUUUUCAAGAGUAUUGGUUAAUGCACAUGAGCAAAAGAUUUACUAAAGAUGUUUAUUCUUCAGUUGAUUCUCUUACCAUAAUCUAUUGAGACAUGCUUUAUUUGCAUUUCUCGUUAAAGACUUAACAUUAAAGACUUAACUUUAGGGUGA
ensembl:lncRNA PMS2P4 PMS1 homolog 2, mismatch repair system component pseudogene 4